GCCUGGGUCCCGGAUCCUCUCUGUCUCUGGAGAAUCAGGCAGCCAGGGAUCAUGGCAAGGCCAUGAGCACUGGAGGAUCAGGCCUGGUUGCUGUGACUUAGCCUUACAGAGCCAGGUCCUGGCAGACGUCAACCCAGGAGGCUUCUUGGUGCGAGUAGGCUGGGUCAGGCAAGAACGGGAUGAUGUAGAAAGGUGGGGGCCUGCUUAGGCUGAGGGGCAGAAAGGAGCUCUGUGGAGAGGCUAGACCAAGCCCUAUAGGCCCAGAGCUCCCAAGAAACCACAAGAAAUGAGGGUGGCAAGGGAGGCCACUUUAGACACCCUUCUCUGGUCCCUCUCCAGUGAGAAGCCCCUGGCUUAGGGGGUGGUGGGAAGAGCUCAGCGUCACUGACUCUCUGCCCAAACAUUAUGGAGCCUCUAUCAUGACGAUGGUACAAUAUCUGUGACCUCUGACGUCUGCUGAGCACUUACGAGCUCCAGGGACCACGCCCACUGCUUCCUGAAGCUCAUCCCAUUUAAUCCUCCCAACUCGAUGAGAUGUGCUUGAUUAAGCAAGACCACCCACCCAGAGGGGCCACUGCCGCAGCGUCACGGACCCGAGGCACCGUGGCCGCUCGCCCAGCGGAGCACUGCCCAGGCCGUGGGACCUUCAGAAGUGGUGGGCGGCUCUAAACCACAGAGAAUGUUCCCUCAUUUACCAGACUGCUCUCCUUGGCAGAAUGACUGCAUGAAGGAUAUACAGUCAAAUUAUUUCCCCAAGUAGAUGGCAAUUUCCCCACUACCAUAAGCAAGGCUGAGAUGAACAUCCUUAAACACAUCUCUAUGCACUUGUAUACUUUAAAAACAUCUCAAAGCCUUGACUGGCUAGUUCAGUUGGUUAGAGCAUCGUCCUGAUAUGCCAAUGUUGUGGGUUUGAUUCUUAGUCAGGACACAAGAAAUAACCAAUGAAUUCAUAAAUAAGUGGGACAACAAAGCUCUCUCUCUCUCUCCAAUCAAUCAAUCAAUGCAUUUUUAAAAAUAUCUCUUCAUCCAGAGAGAUACCCUGAGCAUAAUUUUAAAAGUAAAAAAAAAAAAAAAAAUAUUCGUGUGCAUAGCAAAGAAAACCAUCAACAAAAUUUUAAAACCCACUGAAUGGAAGAACAUAUUCAUCUAUGUUUUCUGCUGAGAAAUUUCUCCUGGUCAGAUGCAAAAUGCUGUAUGUUUUAUUGGUAAGAUAGGCAUAACAUAAAAUUCACCAUUUAAUCAUUCUUAAUCAAUCAUUGUAUAGUUCAGUAGCAUUAACUGCAUUCACAUUGUUGUGCAACCAUCACCACCACCCAACUGCAGAACUUUUUCAUUUUCCAAAUCUGAAACUCUGAACCCACUAAACAAUACCUCAUUCUUCCCUUACUCAAGUCCCUGGCCACCACUAUUCUCUUUCUAUCUCUAUACUCCGCUCAGUACCUCAGAUAAAUGGAAUUAUAAACUAAA